rnacentral:rRNA from 1 species
ACGCACGCUGGCGGCAUGCCUAACCCCUGCAAGUCGAACGAGACCUUCGGGUCUAGUGGCGCACGGGUGCGUCACGCGUGGGAACCUGCCCUUAGGUUCGGAAUAACUCCCCGAAAGGGGUGCUAAUACCGGAUAAUGUCUUCGGACCAAAGAUUUAUCGCCUUUGGAUGGGCCCGCGUUGGAUUAGCUAGUUGGUAGGGUAAAAGCCUACCAAGGCGACGAUCCAUAGCUGGUCUGAGAGGAUGAUCAGCCACACUGGGACUGAGACACGGCCCAGACUCCUACGGGAGGCAGCAGUGGGGAAUAUUGGACAAUGGGCGAAAGCCUGAUCCAGCAAUGCCGCGUGAGUGAUGAAGGCCUUAGGGUUGUAAAGCUCUUUUACCCGGGAUGAUAAUGACAGUACCGGGAGAAUAAGCUCCGGCUAACUCCGUG